rnacentral:rRNA from 1 species
AUACGUAGGGGACGAGCGUUGUCCGGAAUUACUGGGCGUAAAGGGCGCGCAGGCGGAUAUUUAAGUCAGCUGUAAAAGGCAUGAGCUCAACUCAUGUAUGCGGUUGAAACUGGGUAUCUAGAGUGCUGGAGAGGUAGGCGGAAUUCCCGGUGUAGCGGGGAAAUGCGUAGAUAUCGGGAAGAACACCAGUGGCGAAGGCGGCUUACUGGCCAGCAACUGACGCUGAGGCGCGAAAGCCAGGGGAGCGAACGGGAUUAGAUACCCCGGUAGUCCUGGCCGUAAGCGAUGAAUGCUAGGUGUGGGUGUCGAGAGGCAUCCGUGCCGGAGUUAACGCGAUAAGCAUUCCGCCUGGGGAGUACGAUCGCAAGAUUGAAACUCAAAGGAAUUGACGGGG